AGUUUGCUUGUAAUUUGGUCAGAAUGCGGCCUAGAAGGAUUCCUACUUUAUGGAAUUGACAUUUUCUUGAUGACUCAAAAUACAAUCAAUUUUGUAAAUGUUAUGUAGCUAUUUGGAAUGGAUGCUUACUUUCUGACUGCAGAAUACAAGGUUACCCAUAUCCAAGCUUUUAAAUAUAGCAUUCAAAUCCUUCAUAAUCUUAUUUAUAUUUAAUCUGCUUGACCUUAUAAAUUUUGCGAAAGGAAGCUUAAAGUAUCAUACUUUGGUUAUAAUUUUAAGAAUUUUUUCCGUAAUAGUUCUUCUUUUUUUUUUUUGGCUUUUUAGGGCUGCACCCACGGCAUAUGGAAGUUCCCAGGCUAGGGGUCAAAUCAGAGCUGUAGCCCCCAGCCUACGCCACAGCCACAGCAACGUGGGAUCCAAGCCUUGUCUGCAACCUCCACCACAGCUCACAGCAACGCCAGAUCCUUAAUCCACUGAGUGAGGCUAGGGAUCGAACCCAUGUCCUCAUGGAUGCUAGUCAGGUUCACUACUGCUGAGCCACCACAGGAAAUCCUCCCUAAUACUUCUGAUAGUUUAUGCCUGUAUAUCUUCUUUGUGGAUUAUACAUUUUAUUAUUAUCCAACGUGUCCUUUUCUAUCUAUCCUCCUACUUUUUGCUGAAAUUUUGCCUAGUAUUGUGACUGCCACCUCUGCUUUCUUUUUGUUGUCAUUUGCCUGAAAUAGUUUUGUUCAUCCCUCUAUCUUUGGCUGUCCCAAGUCAGUCCGAUAUCUCCUAUAUCAGAGGGACAGAGUUAGAGGCACUCCCUUCUUCUGAGGAUAGACAGCUCUGAGUAACAUGCGGAGGCCGAAAAAACACACUUCUGCGCACGUCCUGCAGAUAAACAUGGCCACAGUAUCAAGCUGGAGCCAACGAGAGGUACAUAGGGGCGUUUUACGGGACUUAGGGACGGGGUCCCAAAAAGGGAGCGGGUGGGAGCUCUUUAUUGCUCUUCUUUCUUUGCUUUCGUCUCAUCAGCCGCGAGGAUGGGAUGGCUGAGGCUUCCAGCAGCCAUCUGGGACCAAGAGGUGACUUUGAGGAUAGAAGUCACAUGCCAGGAGAGGGAAGCAGAGCCAGAAGCAGCCUGGGGUCUGCAACCCUCAUGACUGCGAGCUGCCAGUCAGCGGGACCCCCCUCCUCAGGGAUCACUUUAAGCCGAGAGAGGGAGGGAAAAUGCCACUGUGCUCAAACCAUGGUUUGUUUGGCUUUUCUGUUACAGGCAGACAUAGGGAGUCCUGAAAAAUACAUCAGAUCUUGCCCUUCUUUUUGGUGGGGGACACAAUCUAAGAGUAACGAUAUUUGAUGAUUUGAGUCUUAAUUCCUGUUUCGGGUUAUAUUAGUGGUUAUGUUAAAAUGCUUAACAGACACAUCUGGAUGUUUGUUUUUAAGAGCUAUCCCUUGGGUCUUGCAGCUCUAAGUACGGUCUCUUGAGCCGCAUCCACGUCCCCUGGGAGUUGGUGAGAAAUGUGGAAGCUCAUGCCCUUCCUAGACCUACUGAAUCGGAAGCGAAUUUUCACAAGCUCCUCACGUGAUCUGGGCACACAGUGCAGGGUGAAUGCCACUGCCUUAGAGGGCAAAGGUGCCCCCUCUCCUCUUCUGAGUAAUGUUACCGAUGGCCUCAAUUCUCUACUUAGACCCUGGGAAGGCGCCCGCCAUAGAGUCAAGCCAUCAGCGGGCAUCGUCGGCCUUUGAAGGUCUGGCCCUCACCUCUCCGGUUUCAGUUCUUGUUCUUCUCCCAUCGCUGCCAGAGUCUCUGUUUCUCACACUGGGCUAGGGUGUCAGGGUCUUCACCUAGAGCCCACCCAACAGCCAGCCCUUUCCUCCAAUGCUGUUGUGGGAGGCGAUGCAUCCGGCUCCAGGUGACGUGCCCAGCUCAUCUCAUUCUCCUUUGCAUGACUCUUCCUCGCCCAGCCUCCCUUGGUAGCUAAGCUGGCCUGCACCCAGAACUCACCAAGGGGACAAUACAGAGCUGUCUUCUGGGGGUGGGGACAUCUUUUCCUCCCUGGAUUAAAAAGAACCGUGUGAUAAGAACACUGUAUGUUUGUGUGCCUUUCUUCCUACCUAGAAUGUGGAGGGGACAUCUGAAGGUGCAAACACCAUCUUGUAACCAUGGGAAUAAGCAUGAGGUCAAAAGCCAACAGGCUGGGGAUGACAAAGCAGAAAGACAGAGCCAGGCCUUUGACUGGGACUCUGUUGCCCUGCCUCCAUGCCUCCUCCCUCCCUUCUCUUCCCUUCCGCUCCGAAGUCACUCUCCCUUCACCUCUCCUUUAGCUGGUAUAACAUGGAAGUGAAGUAUAUUCUAGCCCCUCAGCUGUGUUAUACUAGAUCCCCUAUUUGUAAUUUAGAGUCACGGCUAAAUUAAGCCUUUCCUUAUAACAUCACCUAUCUCCCCAAACCUCCCCACCCAUCAAAUCCACUACUCUGAAGUGAGAAGGGUGGGUUUUUCUUUCUCUGAGAAUCUGAAGCUAUGUUCCUUUGGGGGUUAGAGCCAGCCAGCUCCAAUCUAGGCAAACCCUCGCUCUCCCACCACCACCCCCCACCUCCCCCAGGCCCAGGUGGCUGGCCCUGGUUCCAGCAGGCUAUGUCACGAAGCACUUAGCCUACUGAGAUUGAUUUUUUUUUUUAAAUUUCUGUGGUUUCUGGGGAGUGGAUGUUGUAAACUGGAGGGCAAAGAAAUUGAAGUUGGAAAUUUGGUGAACUUCUCCCUGCCCCCUUACACGUGAAUAAUGACUUGCUGAUAGAAGCGGCUUUUUCAAAGAUGAAAAACAAUCCAAGAUUUAUGGACAAGUCUGCUCAAAAAAGACCCAGCGCUGCUCGGAGCCAAAGCUGGAAACAAUGUCAGGAGAUUCCUAGAUCUUUUCUGGUUGGAGGAAGGGGCAGGCAGGGAGGACCUCGGGGGAAACGAGAUGGCACGCGGAUGGAGGGAGGGGGUGGGACGGGCUGGAGCAGAACGCGGGAAGGUCAGCACUUGGGAAGAUUUCUCGUGCCCAGUCUCUGAGUUCUAGAGUGCCGUGAACGUGACAACCACUUCCAGGAAACAGCGAUGAACGGAAAACAAACAAGGCUGCUUUGCUGGUAUUGUUUUUACCUAAGCGCCCAGCUGCAUGCACCACUUGUAUGGAUGGCGAGGAAGACGGGGGCCGGGAGAACCGUACACAUGGAGGUGAAUGAACCUUUUGUCUGAACCUGGGACUUCUGCUUCUCAGGGGCGCUGCCCCUCCAUGUGUGUUUGGGGAGCCACCAGAAAAAUAUUCCUGCCAAUUUCUCAGAGUCAAAUCGAAAAUGCUUGGCCAGAAUUCUAACUCAUGGUUGGAUCCAUCUCUUACCGGCCACCGCUGCCCCCUACCCCGAGGUCCCUCCCUGAAAGGCCAGCGGCGGGGGGUGAGGUGAGGGGUGGGAGCAGCCCUGGUCCCUGCGUCUGGGCAGCCUCCUGGGUCUUGUGGGUGCAAAGCCAACAUUUCUGAGUGUAUAUUUUAUAACCACAGCUUCAAAGUAUAAAAAUAGAGUGUGAAAAAUAAAAACAGGGCUCACAAUCAGAGCCUCAAUCACCCUGCUGGUUAGAGAGGCUGGAGAAAUAAUAAAAUUAGAGCAGCCAAAGUGAGCACUGGAAGAGCGCUCGCCGGCCUUGGCAGGGAGAGGUGCAGGGCCAGACUUAUGUGGGACCUUUCCUAAGUGCUUAAGGCAGUUCAGCUCCCACUUAAAGUCUGUUAUCACUCCUGUCU
rnacentral:lncRNA from 1 species